rnacentral:rRNA from 1 species
ACGGAAGGCAGCAGUGAGGAAUAUUGGUCAAUGGACGAGAGUCUGAACCAGCCAAGUAGCGUGCAGGAUGACGGCCCUAUGGGUUGUAAACUGCUUUUGUACGGGAAUAAAGUGACCUACGUGUAGGUUUUUGCAUGUACCGUAAGAAUAAGGACCGGCUAAUUCCGUGCCAGCAGCCGCGGUAAUACGGAAGGUCCGGGCGUUAUCCGGAUUUAUUGGGUUUAAAGGGAGCGUAGGCGGGCCUUUAAGUCAGUGGUAAAAGCGUGUGGCUCAACCAUACCACGCCAUUGAAACUGGAGGCCUUGAGUGCACACAGGGAUGCUGGAAUUCGUCGUGUAGCGGUGAAAUGCUUAGAUAUGACGAAGAACUCCGAUCGCGAAGGCAGGUGUCCGGGGUGUAACUGACGCUGAGGCUCGAAAGUGCGGGUAUCAAACAGGAUUAGAUACCCUGGUA